UCGGGAAUUUUGCACAAUGGCCGAAAGGCUGAUGCAGCAACGCCGCGUGAGCGAAGAAGGCCUUCGGGUUGUAAAGCUCUGUUGCCUGCGAAGAAGGGCCCUGUCAGGAAAUGGGCGGGGUUUGACGGUAGCAGGCGAGGAAGCCCCGGCAAACUACGUGCCAGCAGCCGCGGUAAUACGUAGGGGGCGAGCGUUGUCCGGACUUACUGGGCGUCAAGGGCGUGUAGGCGGCCUGUUAAGUCAGGGGUGAAAGACCGGGGCUCAACCCCGGGGGUGCCUCUGAAACUGGCGGGCUUGAGUGCGCUAGAGGGCAGUGGAAUUCCCGGUGUAGCAGUGAAAUGCGUAGAGAUAGGGAGGAACACCAGUGGCGAAGGCGGCUGCCUGGGGAGUCACUGACGCUGAGGCGCGAAAGCUAGGGGAGCAAACAGG
rnacentral:rRNA from 1 species